rnacentral:rRNA from 1 species
GAUGAACGCUAGCGGCAGGCUUAAUACAUGCAAGUCGAGGGGCAGCACAGAUAGCAAUAUUGGGUGGCGACCGGCAAACGGGUGCGGAACACGUACACAACCUUCCUGCUGGUGGGGGAUAGCCCAGAGAAACUUGGAUUAAUACCUCAUAGGAUAUUGGAGAAGCAUUUUUCUGAUAUUAAAGAUUUAUCGCCAGUAGAUGGGUGUGCGUAUGAUUAGGUAGUUGGCGGGGUAACGGCCCACCAAGCCUCCGAUCAUUAACUGGUGUGAGAGCACGACCAGUCACACGGGCACUGAGACACGGGCCCGACUCCUACGGGAGGCAGCAGUAAGGAAUAUUGGUCAAUGGACGGAAGUCUGAACCAGCCAUGCCGCGUGAAGGAUGAAGGCCCUCCGGGUUGUAAACUUCUUUUAUCUGGGGCGAAAAAAGGGUUUUUUAACUCGUCUGACGGUGCCAGAUGAAUAAGCACCGGCUAACUCCGUGCCAGCCGCCGCGGUAAUAC